AUAAAUUUCCAAAAUUGAUUGUUACUGCCCUAAUCAUCAUCUCUGCGCCUCCGCCAUCAUCUCCUCAGUUGUCUGAAUUUUGGCAUCGGUCAAGGAUUGUCCGAAUCAGGGCUUGCUUCAAUUCUUCAUAUUGCUCCUUUGUCAGUUUCAUCAGAAGAACGUCUUAUGAUAGUCUUAUCAGUAGAAAAUUGCAGUGG